rnacentral:misc_RNA from 1 species
GUGGCCGUAUCAUUUAUUGGUGAGUUGUUGAUUUAUGCUAUAUGAUUUUUGCUAUUAAUGGGUUUUGAGUUUUUGUAUGAUUGGUUGGAGAGGGGAGGUGUUAUUAGGGAAUGUUUGGAUGAGUAAUUGUUAUUUAAUGCUGGAUGGAACUGUAGAUUGCUGAUGGUUGACUGCUAGAGAUUGGGAUUAUGAAUUUUCUUGAUACAAGUGAGAAAGAUAAGGCUUUGACUUGGAGUUUCACUGUUAAUUAGUGUUGAAUGUGUGAUUUUUGGCUUUAACUAUGGGUAGAGGUUGAUGUUUCAAUAUCAUUGAUGUUUCAAAUUUGGUGUAUUUAGUUAUUUUCCGAUUCUGCAGGAACCGAUCUGCUGAAAUCCUUU